GUGGCGGUAGCUCAAAUGGCUAGAGCACGGAACUGAAGCUUCCGAGGUAUGGGUUCAAUUCCUGUCCAUCACA
rnacentral:tRNA from 1 species